UUUUUCUGUUUCCUAUUCUGUCUCAACCUGAUAUUAAUUUUUUUUUUCUUUCGUACUGUAGGCAUCCUUUGCUCUCGCCUGUUGCCUCCCUGAUCGCUUCCCUCACAAUCCGAGUCAUCCUCCACCUCUCUGCCAGAGGAUUAGAGCAUUAUACUUCCUCUGCUGAGAACUGCUCCAUAUGAUUUAGAAAUUAUUCAUCAGUGAAACAAUAUGCCAUAGGCAACAUGAUGUGUGAACUUUGCCGUGGCUCAGUGGUCCUCCGUGCUUCUUAGAAAGGCUGACAGUAUCAACGGGGAACGAGGAUGUGCGCCAUGAAGAAUUGAUCUGCGUUGGACAGGAGAUGAAAGAGGCGAGGCAGAAAGGAGCACGAGAGACGACAGACUUCUAAUUAAAUUGGACAGAUAAAGGGAAGAUGAAAGGCUGCGAGAGAAUAAGUGCUAAAAAAGGUUUGACUGUUUGAAUGACGCUGCACUUUUAUAUUGGAAAUAUGAGGAAGGUAAGAAAAAGACCCUUGAGAGACUUAGAUAUUUGGAUAAGUGCACUGACAAAUCUUUCUUUGUAUCGCACACGUUUAAAGGUGCUAUAUACUACAUUCAGCCACUAGAUGUCGCACUAGAGCACCAGCCUCUCGCACCAAAACAAAUAGACGCAUCGUUUUGUGAACAAUAUCAAGUGACGAGGUGCUGUAACUGGAAAGGCGUCACACAAGGAGCCACUUAGACUAUUUGGGGCGAAUGAGGGGACAGUGGGAAGGUUUAGAUAUUACUGAGAUAUUACUUUUCUAGUUUGUAACAUUGACCAGCAGAGGGUCCAACAGAAUUGCAAGUCUAUGAUGGUUGGAUGGGCCUAAUAAAAAUACCACUGUUUAAACUGCCAGUCUUAUAAAAUGCAAUAGUAUUUAUACUUAUUUAUACAAGUAGUUUCUAUGUAGCAAGCUACUUUUGCCAUGUUGCUGUAGCUUCCUGUGCUGUUUUUCUCUGGGUGAUAGCUUCGGUGUAGUGGACUGUAACUGGUAGCUUAGCGCGCUCAGUCACUCAUUCAAUCCAUGUGUUUAUUACUACUUAAGUAACUGGGUUUAACUCUGGUUUGUCCAGUAAGCUGAUUUCUUAAACAUCAUGUUAAGAGGAAACCUUGUUCCCUAAUAGGGUUAGGGUAUUAGCUUAGCUAUUAGCUAUUAGCCUGAUGAACAGUACCAAAAUCUGCUGUUACUGGUCAGAUUCAAAGUCUUGUUUACUUUUUCUCUUGAUGAUUGGUUUAAAACUAAAUCUUGCCACUAUUCAACUGUGUUUUAAGUUCUUGUUUGGCUGAUUGUGUUACGGCAACAUUUUAAAUUUGAGAACUUUUAGUUUUUUGUCUUAAUUAAAAAAAUACAUUUUCAAUUUCUUCAAUUUCUCAAAGCAGA